rnacentral:rRNA from 1 species
AUUGAACGCUGGCGGCAGGCCUAACACAUGCAAGUCGAACGCGUGGCGGACGGGUGAGUCAUGUCUGGGAAACUGCCCGAUGGAGGGGGAAAACUCCUGGAAACGGUAGCUAAUCCUGCAUACCAUCCGCUGUGCCCAGAUGGGAUUAGCUAGUAGGUGGGGUAAUGGCUCACCUAGGCGACGAUCCCUAGCUGGUCUGAGAGGAUGACCGGCCACACUGGAACUGAGACACGGUCCAGACUCCUACGGGAGGCAGCAGUGGGGAAUAUUGCACAAUGGGCGCAAGCCUGAUGCAGCCAUGCCGCGUGUGUGAAGAAGGCCUUCGGGUUGUAAAGUACUGUCAGCAGGGAGGCGUUACCCGAAGAAGAAGCAACGGCUAACUCCGUGCCAGCAGCCGCGGUAAUAC